CCUAGCAGCAGCUCUGCUUCAUUCAGUCCAACGGAAAGAAUUUGGCUCCUGAAGAUACUGUUCCGGCCAUUGAGGAUAAAAAGCUGGUUCUCCGUGUAUAUUCCAGUUGGGGUUUGGAGAGGGAGAAGUGGGUCACAGCUCUGAAAAUGCGGGAAAACUCACCUCUCCUGCGUGGGCUUCGGGGGACGCACCGUGAAACUCCUGGAAAUAAACAGUUUGAAUUUCCCAGAGAGGGGAGGGGCCACUUCCGGUGCGCCCCAGGGCAUCAUGGGAGGAGUCGGGUGGAGGGAAGAAAAGGCCGGAAGUGGCCCGCCGCCAUUGUUCGGACCGAGCUGAGGCGAGGGCGCGGCGUUGCCGAAGACCCAGAAGGCCAGCUUUGAAGAACACCUGGAGGAAAAGUGAAUCCCAUGUCAUCCCCAUAGUACAGAAGAUGCAGAAAUGGUGAAGGGAAUGGGUCAGGCCAUUUUGGAUUAACAGCACACUACCACGUAGAGAUUACUGUAAUGCAGUGUAUUCACCGAACACAGAAAGGAAGUCACCCUUGCCGUCUCAUGUCUGAGAUCAGUGGUUUCCUGACCUGUGGGGUCACAAGCCCCCAAGGAUCCUCAGGGUUGUUGCAGGGGACUCUUGAAUCCAUCUGCACAGCGAUAAUUGCCUCAAGUUUGAGCAAGCAACAUCAUCAAACAAACAGUGUUUUCUGUUAGAAAGUCUAAGUGACUGUA